UAGAGUUUAGUUUUGAUUGCAGCCGGUGAUUUAAGCGACAAAUAGCAUUCUGCAGACUUAUAUGGCAGUUUCCAAUCUAUAACCUCUGUGAUCUGUGGGCCGACCAAACCUAAAAGUGAAUAUCGAUCAGCAUUUUCAGUUAUUCUAAUUUCGAGAAAUUACUGGAUUGCUCUUCCUGGUGGAGCGAUAAAAAGCAGGACACAUUUCUUACAAGGGGUAUUUUUCUGUUCAGCUUGCCAGAGAGCUAAUUGCAGUAUACGCUAGAGGAUUAUGGCUAGAGGCGGAAUGAGGGGCAGAGGAGGCAUGAAUCGAGGAAUAGGUGGCAGACCACCAUACAAGGUGAAGAUGUUUCUUCCCCGUCAUCCCUUCGACUUGGCUUUGUGUGAAUCAUCUUUUCCUAGGACGAAACCAGCAGCCGAAGAAACAGCAUUCACACAAGCUCUGCUUAAACGCAACAGUGACUUGUCUCCUACACCAGUCGAACAAACUGCUAUUUUGAAUCUCGUGACGAAGAUACAGACUGUUUUGGAUAACCUUGUGGUCGCGCCUGGAAACUUUGAUGCCUGUCAAUUGGAUGAAGUGCGUCAGGUUGGAUCGUUCAAGAAAGGCACCAUGGUUACUGGAUCGAAUAUAGCUGAUAUUGUAGUAAUCCUGAAAACUCUACCCACUAAAGAAGCUGUUGACGCGCUCGGGAAUAAAGUAAAGGAAGACCUGAAGAAUCUGAUGAAAAAUGAAAUCGUACCCAAAGGCGAACAACUCGUACACGCAACCAACGAGAGAGGUUUGGAAAUUAAGAACACAUUUGCUUGUGUGCGAGUCCUCGUUACCACACUGCAUCACAACAUUCGCAAGUUGGAUCCGGAAAUCCAUUUAGACCAGAAGAUUAUGCUUAGCCACCUUGCAGCAAUUCGUCACAGCAGGUGGUUUGAAGAAAAUGCCCACCAUUCUUCGAUUAAAGUUUUAAUUCGUUUACUGAGGGACGUGAGAACGAGGUUUGAAGGUUUUGAGCCACUAACACCAUGGAUGUUGGAUUUGCUAGCUCAUUUUGCAAUUAUGCAUAAUCCCAGCCGCCAAGCCCUACCAAUCAAUGUAGCAUUCCGCCGAGUUUUCCAACUUCUAGCUGCUGGACUAUUUCUUCCCGGUUCCGCUGGCAUUACUGAUCCGUGUGAGGGUGUCAGUCUUCGAAUUCACACGGCCAUCACACUCGAGCAGCAAGAUAUCUGCUGUUUAACAGCCCAGACCUUGUUAAGAGUCCUAUCACAUGGUGGCUUCAAGCAGAUCUUAGGAAUGGAGGGAAGUAGCAACAUUGCUAAAGAAAUGUCUAUCUGGGAAGGCGUUGUAGUUUCCCCAUUGGAUAAAGCGUACGAGAAUCCCCCAGAGCGAAAAGAAGGAGAAGACGAUGAUGAGAUGGAGGAAGGAGAUGGUGACGAAAUAAUGGAAAUACAGGAGGCAUAAAAUCGUCGAUUGUAUUAUUAUGUAACACAGUAGGUAUAAUUUAUUGGGUCAUUUUCUUAGUAUCGAUCUGAAUUCAAUGUCGGGCCGCUUUAGCACGGAAUAUGUAUCGAUACAUAAUUUGGAUUAUAAUUUUGUGGUAUUGAACGAAUUUUUUAUAAGUGAUAUCUUUAGAGGUCGGGUUUAAUUUCGAUUUUUGGCACCCGCAUCUUUUUAUUUAUGCGUAGAUGAGUUUGCAAAUUUAUUUAAGCGUGUAACGGGCACUUUACGAUUAAUUACUCUAUAUCUUUUGUUAACGUUAUGUUAUGGUUUCUAUCAUACUGUGGUCUAAACAGCAGUACAUACAAAUUAUGAUAGGCUGAAGUGUCUGCUUAUUGGUUUUCGUAAUCGUAAAUUUCUUUUAUAGUUAAAUUAAAGCGAAACUGCUGCAAACCCGCUUGCAUCAUUUGACGAAUUCAAUGUUUUAUUAAAUUAAGAAACAUUUUUAAACCAUAAAAUAUGAAUUUCCAAUUCAAAUCAGUUGAAUUAAAUUAUACCAAUGUCAAGUUACUGUAACGUAAGUUGGUGUUUUAUUAGCUACUUUUUUUAUAAGCCAAUGGGUCAUUUAUCACAUAAUAUUUACAAUAGUGUCGAUAUGUGAAAUCAUUGAUGUGUGUUUGUCACUGUUAGUAAAAUAAUACAUGAUCGAAAGCUA
rnacentral:misc_RNA from 1 species